AGAAGUUUAGGAUAUACCAGUCCAAGAGCCUUCAAAGCCCUAAGAAAACACUCAGUUUAACUUCUG
rnacentral:tRNA from 1 species